CCCCUUGGCCCCUGAGAAACAUCUGUCCAUCCUUUGGAGUUUUGCUUCAGAUUGGCUCCUCUAGAAGCUUCCCUAACACCACCACUGAGAGCCUCACCAAUUCCUCACCCGGCUCCGCCUCUGGGUUCUUAGAGUGCUUUUUACAGACAUUUGCUCCUAUCAUUGUAUUUGAAUUAUUUUAAUUUUUGUGUUAUGUUUCUCUAACAGUAUAACAUGUGUGUGUCAAUUUUUAUCAACAACCUGGAGCUUUUAGUUAGUAUUUGAAGAAUCUUAGUCAGGAACCCAUACAUGAAGAGUGGUUAGCAAACAUAUGAAAAGCCCUAAAAGGAGUCCACAGCCCAGACGGGCUGCAGCAACUUCAAAUAUCCUCAUCCGAAUCUGCACCAGAGGACCUGCUCUUUGGGAUCUCAUCCAGAAUCCCACAUUACAUUAAAUCAUCACGUCUCCUUAGUCUCCUCCAACCUUCUCAGUCUUUCCUUGUUUAUCGGCACCCUGGAAGUUUUGAGUGCUGGCCAGGUAGGAUUUGCUCUGGGGCAAGUCAGCUGCUGUGUUGUGAAGACACUCCAAGACAACUGUGGAGGGGACCCACCCUGCCAGCCACGUGAAUGAGACUCCCUGGAAGCAGAUCUUCCAGCCCCAGUUGAGCCUUCAAGUGACCACAGCCCUGACACGUCUGACUGAUCCUCAUGAGAAAUCUCAAGCUAGAGCUAUCAGUCCACCUGUUUCCAAAGUCCUGGCCCGCAGAAACUGUGACAGAAAAGAAGUGCUUAUUAUUUAUAUAAGUUACUAAAUUUGGGGAUAAUUUGUUACACAGCAAUUAGAUAAUGAAUACAGAAACACUCAGAAAAGUAUUCGAAAAAACAAAACUUCAAAUUUUACAAUUCCAAAAUAAACUCAUUAU